rnacentral:rRNA from 1 species
UCUGGUGUCAGCCGCCGCGGUAAUACCAGCUCUCCGAGUGGUAGGGACGAUUAUUGGGCUUAAAGCGUCCGUAGCCGGCUUAGCAAGUCUCCUGUUAAAUUCAGCGACCUAAUCGUUGAGCCGCGGGAGAUACUACUAGGCUAGGAGGCGAGAGAGGCCGACGGUAUUCUCGGGGUAGGGGUGAAAUCCUAUAAUCCCGGGAGGACCACCAGUGGCGAAGGCUGUCGGCUAGAACGCGCUCGACGGUGAGGGACGAAAGCUGGGGGAGCGAACCGGAUUAGAUACCCGGGUAGUCCCAGCUGUAAACGAUGCGGGCUAGGUGUUGGGGUGGCUACGAGCCACUUCAGUGCCGCAGGGAAGCCAUUAA